AUACGGAGGAUGCGAGCGUUAUCCGGAUUUAUUGGGUUUAAAGGGUGCGUAGGCGGAUUGAUAAGUCAGUGGUGAAAACCUGCAGCUUAACUGUAGACUUGCCGUUGAUACUGUCAGUCUUGAGUGUGGUCAAGGUAGGCGGAAUGUGUAAUGUAGCGGUGAAAUGCUUAGAUAUUACACAGAACACCGAUUGCGAAGGCAGCUUACUGGGCCAUUACUGACGCUGAUGCACGAAAGCGUGGGGAUCGAACAGGAUUAGAUACCCUGGUAGUCCACGCCGUAAACGAUGAUCACUCGCUGUUAGCGAUACACAGUUAGCGGCUAAGCAAAAGCAUUAAGUGAUCCACCUGGGGAGUACGGCCGCAAGGCUGAAACUCAAAGGAAUUGACGGGG
rnacentral:rRNA from 1 species